rnacentral:rRNA from 1 species
ACAGCAGCAGCCACGGUAAGACGAACCGUGCUAACGUUAUUCGGAAUUACUGGGCUUAAAGCGCGUGUAGGCGGGCCGGCACGUCGGACGCUGAAAUCCCCCGGCUUAACCGGGGAAGUGGCCCCGAUACGACCGGCCUCGAGGGGUGUAGGGGGAGCCGGAACUUCCGGUGGAGCGGUGAAAUGCGUUGAGAUCGGAAGGAACGCCCGUGGCGAAAGCGGGCUCCUGGACACCACCUGACGCUGAGACGCGAAAGCCAGGGGAGCGAACGGGAUUAGAUACCCCAGUAGUCCCUGUCUCUUAUA